rnacentral:rRNA from 1 species
AUACGGGGGGUGCAAGCGUUAAUCGGAAUUACUGGGCGUAAAGCGCGCGUAGGCGGUUAAAUAAGUUGGAUGUGAAAUCCCCGGGCUCAACCUGGGAACUGCAUUCAAAACUGUUUAACUAGAGUAUGGUAGAGGGAAGUGGAAUUCCAGGUGUAGCGGUGAAAUGCGUAGAUAUCUGGAGGAACAUCAGUGGCGAAGGCGACUUCCUGGAUCAAUACUGACGCUGAGGUGCGAAAGCGUGGGGAGCAAACAGUAUUAGAAACCCCAGUAGUCC